rnacentral:rRNA from 1 species
AACGAACGCUGGCGGCAGGCUUAACACAUGCAAGUCGAACGCAUCGCAAGAUGAGUGGCAGACGGGUGAGUAACGCGUGGGAAUCUACCCAUCUCUGCGGAAUAGCUCUGGGAAACUGGAAUUAAUACCGCAUACGCCCUACGGGGGAAAGAUUUAUCGGGGAUGGAUGAGCCCGCGUUGGAUUAGCUAGUUGGUGGGGUAAAGGCCUACCAAGGCGACGAUCCAUAGCUGGUCUGAGAGGAUGAUCAGCCACAUUGGGACUGAGACACGGCCCAAACUCCUACGGGAGGCAGCAGUGGGGAAUAUUGGACAAUGGGCGCAAGCCUGAUCCAGCCAUGCCGCGUGAGUGAUGAAGGCCUUAGGGUUGUAAAGCUCUUUCACCGAUGAAGAUAAUGACGGUAGUCGGAGAAGAAGCCCCGGCUAACUUCGUGCCAGCAGCCGCCGCCG